rnacentral:rRNA from 1 species
GAACCGUACGAACGUUAUUCGGAAUUACUGGGGCUUAAAGGGGUGCGUAGGCUGCACGGAAAGUUGGGUGUGAAAGCCCUCAGCUCAACUGAGGGAAUUGCAUCCAAAACUGCCGUGCUUGAGGGAGACAGAGGUGAGCGGAACUCAAGGUGGAGCGGUGAAAUGCGUUGAUAUCUUGAGGAACACCGGUGGCGAAUGCGGCUCACUGGGUCUCUUCUGACGCUGAGGCACGAAAGCUAAGGUAGCAAACGGGAUUAGAUACCCCCGGUAGUCUUAGCUGUAAACGAUGAGCACUUGAUUGGAGGGUCCUCCAUAGCCUUCCAGUCGUAGCGAAAGUGUUAAGUGCUCCGCCUGGGGAGUAUGGUCGCAAAGGCUGA